rnacentral:tRNA from 1 species
GGCAUUGUGGCUCAGUGGUAGAGUACUUGCCUAGCAUUCAUGAGGCACUGUAUUUGAUUCUCAGUGCCG